rnacentral:rRNA from 1 species
GAACGCUGGCGGCGUGCCUCAUACAUGCAAGUCGAGCGAACAGACGAGGAGCUUGCUCCUCUGACGUUAGCGGCGGACGGGUGAGUAACACGUGGAUAACCUACCUAUAAGACUGGGAUAACUUCGGGAAACCGGAGCUAAUACCGGAUAAUAUAUUGAACCGCAUGGUUCAAUAGUGAAAGACGGUUUUGCUGUCACUUAUAGAUGGAUCCGCGCCGCAUUAGCUAGUUGGUAAGGUAACGGCUUACCAAGGCAACGAUGCGUAGCCGACCUGAGAGGGUGAUCGGCCACACUGGAACUGAGACACGGUCCAGACUCCUACGGGAGGCAGCAGUAGGGAAUCUUCCGCAAUGGGCGAAAGCCUGACGGAGCAACGCCGCGUGAGUGAUGAAGGUCUUCGGAUCGUAAAACUCUGUUAUUAGGGAAGAACAAAUGUGUAAGUAACUAUGCACGUCUUGACGGUACCUAAUCAGAAAGCCACGGCUAACUACGUG